CGCAGAUAAGUCAUUGCGAAGAAGGGGUGUCGCCUUCCCUGGACCCAGCGCUAAAUGCUGCUUCCCCACCCCCACGUUCAUAUACACACCCCCUUCUUCACUCCGUCCAAACGGUUAUCACAACUCUGUACAAACUGAUACGGUCCCUAGCGGGCAAAGGGACUGGAAAUGAACGUCGCGGGGUUAUCAGCGCCUAUCUGUCAGCAGUGACUCGCGCGGCCGCAGGCUCGUCCGCUGCCGGAGCCGUGAUAUAUGUCUCUCUCCCUUUCGCUCACAGAAAGGAUUUCUUCCGACAGAAGUGACCCCAGAAGGCUGCCGAGGGAAACUUUAGGACAAGAGGAGUUGUUUUUGUGAUAAUGCAUUUUUAAACCCCACCCCCCCACACACACACAAGUUUCAGCGUGCCCGCAUUUUGAAAAGGCUGAAGGUAGAAAACUCUGGAAUGGAGAGGCUGGCGACUGGAGCAGAAUCCAGGGGCUUUAAAUUUUAACCUGAGUGCGAUCGAAUGUGCGACUUCCAGAUGAGAUAGCCAGGCGUCCGCCCAGCCACUCAACCCCUGCCAGGACUCGGAAUGCCUUGCUUUUUAGUUCUUUUCGUGAGUUCCGACCAAAUGUUUAAGUGGACUGGGUUUUGCAGAAGCUUAUUUGUAAGCAGUGACGGAAAUGUGUUGUGGACAUUUGAUUUCCUUUGAUUUCAACGUUUUGAAAUAAUGUUUCUCAGGUUUGCUAUUAAAAGCAAUUUUUUAAAAAUCAUCUUAUUUGCUAAAAAUAAAACUCUUUGGCUCAGUUUGA